rnacentral:rRNA from 1 species
CCCCGGCGCCACAAGUGGCAACCGUGUAUUUGGCCUAAAGCGUCCGUAGCCUGUCUUGUACAUCCUCUGUGAAAUUGUCCCGCUUAACGGGUCAGCGUGCAGGGGACACGGCAAGGCUUGGAACUGGGAGGCGUGAGAGGUAUUCCUGGGGGAACGGUAAAAUGUUAUAAUCCCAGGAGGACCACCGAUGGCGAAGGCAUCUCACGAGAACAGCUUCGACGGUGAGGGACGAAAGCUAGGGGAGC